UACAGAGGUCCCGAGCGUUGUUCGGAUUCACUGGGCGUAAAGGGCACGCAGGCGGUCCUGUCAGUUUCUAGUGACAGGUCAGAGCUUAACUCUGACAGGCCUAGAAAGACGGCAGGACUUGAGUACUUCAGAGGGACGCGGAAUUCCAGGUGGAGCGGUGAAAUGCGUAGAUAUCGUAAGGAAGACCAGUGGCGAAGGCGGGUCUCUGGACAGUUCCUGACACUGAGACACGAAGGCCAGGGGAGCAAACGGG
rnacentral:rRNA from 1 species